GUGAGACAGUUCGGUCCCUAUCUACCAUGGGUGUUGGAAACUUGAGAGGACCUGUCCCUAGUACGAGAGGACCGGGAUGGACGCACCUCUAGUGUACCGGUUGUCGCGCCAGCGGCAUUGCCGGGUAGCCACGUGCGGACGAGAUAACCGCUGAAUGCAUCUAAGCGGGAAGCUCCCCUCAAAACCAGGUUUCCCUAUCAGAGCCGUGGAAGACCACCACGUUGAUAGGUGGCGUGUGGAAGCGUGGUAACACGUGAAGCUAAGCCAUACUAAUCGCUCGAUCGGCUUGAUCG
rnacentral:rRNA from 1 species